UGGGGAAUUUUGCACAAUGGGCGCAAGCCUGAUGCAGCGACGCCGCGUGAGGGAUGAAGGCCUUCGGGUUGUAAACCUUUUUCGCUCAUGGUCAAGCCGCAGCUUUGGGUUGUGGUGAGGGUAGUGGGUAAAGAAGCGCCGGCUAACUACGUGCCAGCAGCCGCGGUAAUAGGUAGGGCGCGAGCGUUGUCCGGAAUUAUUGGGCGUAAAGGGCUUGUAGGCGGUUGGCCGCGUCUGCCGUGAAAUCCUCUGGCUUAACUGGGGGCGUGCGGUGGGUACGGGUUGACUUGAGUGCGGUAGGGGAGACUGGAAUUCCUGGUGUAGCGGUGGAAUGCGCAGAUAUCAGGAGGAACACCGGUGGCGAAGGCGGGUCUCUGGGCCGUUACUGACGCUGAGGAGCGAAAGCGUGGGGAGCGAACAGG
rnacentral:rRNA from 1 species